rnacentral:rRNA from 1 species
AGAGUUUGAUCAUGGCUCAGAUUGAACGCUGGCGGAAUGCUUUACACAUGCAAGUCGAGCGGCAGCGCGGGGCAACCUGGCGGCGAGCGGCGAACGGGUGAGUAAUGCAUCGGAACAUGUCCAUGUCGUGGGGGAUAGCCCGGCGAAAGCCGGAUUAAUACCGCAUACGCCCGAGAGGGGAAAGCAGGGGACCGCAAGGCCUUGCGCGAUUGGGUUGGCCGAUGUCCGAUUAGCUUGUUGGUGAGGUAAAGGCUUACCAAGGCGAUGAUCGGUAGCUGGUCUGAGAGGAUGAUCAGCCACACUGGGACUGAGACACGGCCCAGACUCCUACGGGAGGCAGCAGUGGGGAAUUUGGACAAUGGGGGCAACCCUGAUCCAGCCAUUCCGCGUGAGUGAAGAAGGCCUUCGGGUUGUAAAGCUCUUUUGUCCGGAGCGAAACGGGCGGCCCUAAUACGGUCGUCUACUGACGGUACCGGAAGAAUAAGCACCGGCUAACUACGUG